UAACACUUAGAAAUAGGUGCUAAUACCGCAUAAGCGCACAGCUUCGCAUGAAGCAGUGUGAAAAACUCCGGUGGUAUACGAUGGAUCCGCGUCUGAUUAGCUUGUUGGCGGGGUAAAGGCCCACCAAGGCGACGAUCAGUAGCCGGCCUGAGAGGGUGAACGGCCGCAUUGGGACUGAGACACGGCCCAAACUCCUACGGGAGGCAGCAGUGGGGAAUAUUGCACAAUGGGGGAAACCCUGAUGCAGCGACGCCGCGUGAGUGAAGAAGCGUUUCGGCGCGUAAAGCUCUGUCAGCGGGGAAGAAACACGGUUCGCGAGAGCCGCGGACGGUACCCGACCAAGAAGCCCCGGCUAACUACGUGCCAGCAGCCGCGGUAAUACGUAGGGGGCAAGCGUUAUCCGGAUUCACUGGGUGUAAAGGGAGCGUAGACGGCGAGACAAGUCUGGAGUGAAAGGCCGGGGCCCAACCCCGGGACUGCUCUGGAAACUGCCUGGCUGGAGUACAGGAGAGGUAAGUGGAAUUCCUAGUGUAGCGGUGAAAUGCGUAGAUAUCAGGAGGAACACCGGCGGCGAAGGCGGCUUACUGGACGGCAACUGACGGUGAGGCGCGAAAGCGUGGGGAGCAAACAGGAUUAGAUACCCUGGUAGUCCACGCUGUAAACGAUCGAUACUAGGUGU
rnacentral:rRNA from 1 species